GCUUCUUUAGCUCAGUUGGUAGAGCGCGGCACUAGUAUCAUCUCAUCUCGGGAUAUGCCGAGGUCAUCGGUUCGACUCCGAUAGGAAGCA